UCCACAUAUCUGUCUUUGCCUCUCUAUCCUC
rnacentral:piRNA from 1 species